UACGUAGGGUGCGAGCGUUGUCCGGAAUUAUUGGGCGUAAAGGGCUCGUAGGCGGUUUGUCGCGUCGGGAGUGAAAACUCAGGGCUUAACCCUGAGCCUGCUUCCGAUACGGGCAGACUAGAGGUAUGCAGGGGAGAACGGAAUUCCUGGUGUAGCGGUGAAAUGCGCAGAUAUCAGGAGGAACACCGGUGGCGAAGGCGGUUCUCUGGGCAUUACCUGACGCUG
rnacentral:rRNA from 1 species